UGCGUGGAAUACUAAGGUUGUAAACCUUUUACAGAGUUCAUACUCACCAAC
rnacentral:tRNA from 1 species